GACGAACGCUGGCGGCGUGCCUAAUACAUGCAAGUUGAGCGCUGAAGGUUGGUACUUGUACCGACUGGAUGAGCAGCGAACGGGUGAGUAACGCGUGGGGAAUCUGCCUUUGAGCGGGGGACAACAUUUGGAAACGAAUGCUAAUACCGCAUAAAAACUUUAAACACAAGUUUUAAGUUUGAAAGAUGCAAUUGCAUCACUCAAAGAUGAUCCCGCGUUGUAUUAGCUAGUUGGUGAGGUAAAGGCUCACCAAGGCGAUGAUACAUAGCCGACCUGAGAGGGUGAUCGGCCACAUUGGGACUGAGACACGGCCCAAACUCCUACGGGAGGCAGCAGUAGGGAAUCUUCGGCGAUGGACGAAAGUCUGACCGAGCAACGCCGCGUGAGUGAAGAAGGUUUUCGGAUCGUAAAACUCUGUUGGUAGAGAAGAACGUUGGUGAGAGUGGAAAGCUCAUCAAGUGACGGUAACUACCCAGAAAGGGACGGCUAACUACGUG
rnacentral:rRNA from 1 species